GUAGAGAGAGGAACCAUCUCUCUACUGGUCUGAUGUAGACUUUGGUCAGUUUCUCUGAGUUUUAAUUGCUUAAUUGUUUUUAUUCUUGUGAUGGUUGUGACAUCAGUUCUUUCUCUUCACAGGGUUCGUUCUCUCCUCCGACAUCGAGGACGUUUUCUUCCUCCACAAACGAAGACUUUCCUCCGUCAGAUUUUUCCAUCUCCGCCUCGUGAACGAUUUCAGGAGUUUUCUUUUUUUUGUCCGAGCUGGAAGACGAGACGACCGCAGACGAGAGGCCGACAUCGCAGGGAGGUCUGCUGCCAGAGUGUGAGAGUGCACGGGAGAGUGCACGAGUGUGUGUGUGUGUGUGUGUGUGUGUGUGUGUGUGUGCAGCUGCACGCUCAUCACACAUCACACGGCUUCUGAGUUAUUUCCUGUUGCUCAACACUCGCUGUGAGGAAAAUAAAUCAACCAGUCGGAUGUGAACAAAUUAAAGUCAGAAGAAACUGAAUUUUCCAAAUAUUUCUGGUGGAGGUCGCCGGGCUGUGAUUGGAUGAUUACGGGCCGCUCUCUUCUUCUGCUGGUUUAUUUCUUUAGUCUUGUCCUGAGUUAUUUGGGCUUUUCUGUGUUUUUCGAGGACACAGAAGUCCGUUUGAGGAGAAACGGGUCCACUGGCUGCAAAGCAUCAUGGGAGAUACGAAGGCCCGAUGAAAACCUGGUUCCUGCAGAUGUCCUCUUUUUGAACUGAAAAUCACCAAAUAAUCAUAAUCUGGAGCUGUGACGCGUCCGUCUCUAGUUGGACCCCCUCGGACCCCCUCAGACCCCCUCGGUGCAGACAUGCUCCCUGGAGGACUGGUGUCGGGUGGAGCGGGUUGCGGCGGCGGCGGGCUGUGCCUGCUCCGGUGGCUCGGCCUCAGGCUGUGGUCCCGGCGGGGGACCCUGGUGUUCGCUCUGCUCUGGUUCGGCUCCUGGUUGUUCCUCAACGGUCUGGUUCUGGUCCACAGGAGCAUCCUGUCCGACUACUGCACCGACGACAAGAGCAAGAGGAUCCUGCAGAGACUGACUCACUCUGAACAUCUUGAACAGUGAGGAGUUCGACCUUCAGGCUCUUGAUGCGUCUCCACAUGUUGGAGCUCCGGUGAUCUCAGACUGCAGAGCUGCUUCACUGAUCAAAGGAAACACGACACAAAGUAACAAAUACACGUUUGUGUUCAUCACAGCUCAGCUGCAGAAACGUCAUUAAAAUAUCUGGAUUCAUAUUUAAAUGUUUCUCAUUCGGCUCUUUGAAAAUAUAAGUUAUAGUUUAUCCUUUAAGACAAUUAAACCCAAAAGUUAUGACAUAAUAUAUCGUCACUGUAUUAACCCUCGCAUUACCAACUGAGUUGAGUUGUAAACAUGUUUUCUGUCUCUGAACGCAGCAUUUUGUUUUAUUAAUUAGUUUUUAUUAAGAAGCUUUAGCUGCACGAGCAGACGGAGAUCGUAAGAAAAAAA